AACAAUCGUUAAAGAAAAAUCAUAAUCAUGUUGUUCCUCCCAUCCAAACUCUAACUCUAGUUCCACAGCCUCACCGUCAUAGAAGACGGUGGCUGCGUCGGCGAAAUCAUGGAGCUGCGCGAUCGCCUCGACUAGUUGCAGGCUGUUCCUGGCCACGACCCCAUGCUUAUUCGAGACUUGAGCUCAAGAUCUACGAACCCCGCCGGCAACAAAAGCUGGAGACUCCGAAUGUUGUCCUCUAUCCAUUUGAUCGUCUUUUCAUGAGAUUUGUAUAUUGAAGAAGCAAGUCGGAAUUUUGGAUGUACCGAAAUAUUCAAAGAGCCAUCAAAAUUUGCCUGGUCAGAUUGCUAUGAAGAGCAUUUUAUUGUAUCCUAUCACCGGAUUGUCUUAGUGACUAAUGGUGAGCCAUGCUGCUGCAGUGUGUGGCCCCUGAUAAGAUGGAUAAGAAGCCCUGCAAGAUAAUGUGGGAUGUGCCAUGGGAAGAAGCCCUUCUCAUUUAAUUAUCCAUCUGAAAAGCUUUAGGAGAGGUGAAAGCUUUGUUUGAGUGAUAAAGUGCAAUACAGAACAAGUAUCAGAGGAAGGACAGCCACAAGCAGUUAGAGUCUGCUCAGUUGUGCGUAAGAUGUGGAAAGCACACCAGACCUAUAUGAAACAGGUUCCCUCAGGCCAAAGACAUGUAUCUUCUUUGAAUGAAGUUGAUGCAACAGAAAA